AUUCCAGCUCCAAUAGCGUAUAUUAAAGUUGUUGCAGUUAAAAAGCUCGUAGUUGAAAUUCUGCAAAUGAAAACAGGUCGGCCCUUCGGGAUCGUACAUGUUUCUAUUCGCACAUCGCCGUUUCAUUCAUCGAUCAUAUCGGUGAAUAUUCGGUGACGUUACUUUGAGAAAAUUAGAGUGUUUCAAGCAAGCGCAAUGCCUUGAAUACUCCAGCAUGGAAUAACAAGUAAGGACUCCCGUUCUUCUUGUUGGUUUAAGGACUCGACUAAUGAUUAAGAGGAACAGUUGGGGGCAUUCGUAUUUGGUAGUCAGAGGUGAAAUUCUUAGAUUUACCAAAGACGAACUACUGCGAAAGCAUCUGCCAAGGAUGUCUUCAUUA
rnacentral:rRNA from 1 species